rnacentral:lncRNA from 1 species
UAGAUAUUCGCGUCACCACUCUCGUUAGAGGGUACACCGUCAUCCACAGGGAGCGGUCCUCUUAUAUCUUUUCAGACCAAAUGGGGGAGGGGGAAAUAGAUGUCCCAGAUGGGUUUAGGGGAACACAUACCCCUCAGAGAUAAAAAGUCUAACGAGACACUUGAUGCAUUAUGCAUGUCAAUACAGAUACACACUUUGGACCAUUCAUGCUUCAUUCCACUUUUCUCUUUCUCUUUUUCUUUUUUU